UGUCCGAUGCCACGUCGCCGGUAGCGAAAAUUUGCAAGCGAUGCUAUGAUCGGGCCUAAAUCAAAACAAUUUGUUGUUGUUUCGCUGCUGAUAGGAACCUGUGGAUCUGAUAUUAAGCCGUUCAUCAACGGAGCCGAUUUCUGCGAUUACAGUU
rnacentral:snoRNA from 1 species